rnacentral:rRNA from 1 species
UACGUAGGGUGCGAGCGUUAAUCGGAAUUACUGGGCGUAAAGCGCGCGUAGGCGGUCCGCAAAGUCUGAUGUGAAAGCCCCGGGCUCAACCUGGGAACUGCAUUGGAAACUAACGGGCUCGAGUGUGGCAGAGGGGGGUGGAAUUCCACGUGUAGCAGUGAAAUGCGUAGAGAUGUGGAGGAACACCGAUGGCGAAGGCAGCCCCCUGGGCUAACACUGACGCUCAGGCACGAAAGCGUGGGGAGCAAACAGG